GCUGUCGUGGCCUAGUCGGUUAGGGCGCCAGACUCAUAGGGUUUUGUAGCACAUUUCGGGGCGCUUGAUAUCUGAGAUAUCUGGAGGUCGCGGGUUCGGAUCCCGUCGACAGCA
rnacentral:tRNA from 1 species